rnacentral:snoRNA from 1 species
UUUCACAGUUACUGAUCUGCAGUUGUUAUUGUGGUGGCAGUUGUGGCAUUCCACUGUGGAUAAGAAACUGUUAACGCGAUCAGACACCUCUUUCUUAACAAAACAGAAAACAGGCAUAUGUGUGACAGAACCAA